rnacentral:rRNA from 2 species
AGCGCACAGGUUUACCUGUGAGCGGCAGACGGGUGAGUAACGCGUGGGAAUCUACCUUAAGCUGCGGGAUAACAGAGAGAAAUUUCUGCUAAUACCGCAUGUGCCCCGGAAGGGGAAAGAUUUAUCGGCUUAAGAUGAGCCCGCGUUGGAUUAGCUAGUUGGUGGGGUAAAGGCCUACCAAGGCGACGAUCCAUAGCUGGUCUGAGAGGAUGAUCAGCCACACUGGGACUGAGACACGGCCCAGACUCCUACGGGAGGCAGCAGUGGGGAAUAUUGGACAAUGGGCGCAAGCCUGAUCCAGCCAUGCCGCGUGAGUGAUGAAGGCCUUAGGGUUGUAAAGCUCUUUCACCGGGGAAGAUAAUGACGGUACCCGGAGAAGAAGCCCCGGCUAACUUCGUGCCAGCAGCCGCGGUAAUACGAAGGGGGCUAGCGUUGUUCGGAAUUACUGGGCGUAAAGAGCGCGUAGGCGGAAAAGUAAGUCAGGGGUGAAAUCCCGGGGCUCAACCCCGGAAUUGCCUUUGAUACUGUUUUUCUUGAGUGCAGAAGAGGUAAGUGGAAUUCCGAGUGUAGAGGUGAAAUUCGUAGAUAUUCGGAAGAACACCGGUGGCGAAGGCGGCUUACUGGUCUGCAACUGA